AUUGAACGCUGGCGGCAGGCCUAACACAUGCAAGUCGAGCGAGUGGCGGACGGGUGAGUAAUGUAUGGGAAACUGCCUGAUGGAGGGGGAUAACUACUGGAAACGGUAGCUAAUACCGCAUACCAUCGGAUGAACCCAUAUGGGAUUAGCUUGUAGGUGGGGUAACGGCUCACCUAGGCGACGAUCCCUAGCUGGUCUGAGAGGAUGACCAGCCACACUGGGACUGAGACACGGCCCAGACUCCUACGGGAGGCAGCAGUGGGGAAUAUUGCACAAUGGGCGCAAGCCUGAUGCAGCCAUGCCGCGUGUAUGAAGAAGGCCUUCGGGUUGUAAAGUACUUUCAGUCGGGAGGCGUUACUCGCAGAAGAAGCACCGGCUAACUCCGUGCCAGCCGCCGCGGUAAUUC
rnacentral:rRNA from 1 species